rnacentral:rRNA from 1 species
AGCAUUCCUGUCAGCCUUGAAGGCGCAGCGUGAGCUGCUCUGGAGCGUCAGGAAAAGCAAAUGUAGGUAUAAGUAACGAUAAAGGGGGUGGGAUGCCCCCUCGCCGCAAGACCAAGGUUUCCAGGGCUACGUUAAUCGCCCCUGGGUCAGUCGGAUCCUAAGGAUAAGCCUAACGGCGAGGCCGAUGGAAAAACGGUUAAUAUUCCGUUACUGCAUUUAUGAGCGAUUGUGGUGACGCAGAAGUGACACAGCCGCCGUCUUACGGAACAGACGGUUGAAGGGCGUAGGUAAUGAGGAAGGCAGGCAAAUCCACCUUCCGAGCUGAAACCCGAGAGUACGCAGACGCCUCCGGGCCGAUGUGAUAGCGCUGGUAACCAUGCUGCCGAGAAAAACCGCUAAGCUUAAUCAUAAAUGCAUCCGUACCGUAAACGGACACACGUGGUCGGGUUGAAUAUACUAAGGCGCUUGGGUGAUUCACGGUUAAGGAACUAGGCAAAUUGACCCUGUAACUUCGGGAUAAAGGGUCCCGUCUCAGAGAUGAGCGGGCGCAGAGAAUAGGUCCAGG